rnacentral:rRNA from 4 species
UGGGGAAUAUUGGACAAUGGGCGCAAGCCUGAUCCAGCAAUGCCGCGUGAGUGAUGAAGGCCUUCGGGUCGUAAAGCUCUUUUACCAGGGAUGAUAAUGACAGUACCUGGAGAAUAAGCUCCGGCUAACUCCGUG